GAUGAACGCUAGCGAUAGGCUUAACACAUGCAAGUCGAGGGGCAGCAUGGUCUUAGCUUGCUAAGACUGAUGGCGACCGGCGCACGGGUGCGUAACGCGUAUGCAACUUGCCUCACAGAGGGGGAUAACCCGUCGAAAGACGGACUAAUACCGCGUACACUUGGGAUAGGGCAUCCUGACCCAAGGAAAUGAAAUUCGCUGUGAGAUAGGCAUGCGUCCCAUUAGCUAGUUGGUGAGGUAACGGCUCACCAAGGCGACGAUGGGUAGGGGAACUGAGAGGUUGAACCCCCACACUGGUACUGAGACACGGACCAGACUCCUACGGGAGGCAGCAGUGAGGAAUAGUGAUCAAUGGGCGAGAGCCUGAACCAGCCAAGUCGCGUGAAGGAUGACUGUCUUAUGGAUUGUAAACUUCUUUUAGACGGGAAUAACAAGAGCCACGUGUGGCUCCCUGCAUGUACCGUAUGAAUAAGCAUCGGCUAACUCCGUG
rnacentral:rRNA from 1 species